GUCUACGACCAUACCACCCGGAAAACACCGGUUCUCGUCUGAUCACCGAAGUUAAGCCUGGUCGGGCGAAGUUAGUACUUGGAUGGGUGACCGCCUGGGAAUACUUCGUGUUGUAGACU
rnacentral:rRNA from 1 species